rnacentral:lncRNA from 1 species
AGUUGGGCACUCCUGAAGCUGCAGAGCAGAAGAGACCACCAACACUGCCCACCCCUGCCCACAUCCCUGGCCCAAGAGGAAACUGUGUACGGCCUCAGGGUUCCCGUGGGGGAGGGACCAGGAGCAGGAGGACCCCUGAGCCUGAGACACCGCCCGAACCUGAACGGACAAACCGGAUAAACAGUUCUCUGCACCCAAAUCCCAUGGGAGGGAGAGCUAAACCUACAGAGAGGCAGACACGCCUGGGAAACCAGAAGAGACUGCACUCUGCACACAUCUCUGACGCCAGAGGAAAACACCAAGCGCCAUCUGGAACCCUGGUGCACAGAGGCUCCCGGAAAGAGCGGCACAGAACUUCCUGGUUGUUGCCGCUGCAGAGAGCUUGUAGGCAGCACCUCAUGAGCAAACUUGAACCUUGGGACCACAGUUAAGACCAACUUUUCUGCUGCAAGUGACCUGCCUGGUGAACUCAAGACACAGGCCCACAGGAACAGCUGAAGACCUGUAGAUAGGAAAAACUACACACCCGAAAGCAGAACACUCUGUCCCCAUAACUGGCUGAAAGAAAACAGGAAAA